UAGAAGAUAAGAUUUCCCCAACUUGAUAGAGGAUAAGAUUUCCCCAAUUAUAUGAGGAAAUCUCUCUAUUCUGUUUAUUCUGUUGAGGGAAAUCCUUCCUCCUAAUCUGUAUAAAUAGGAGAGGGAACAUGUUAAUAGAUUUAAGCUAAAGCUAUUUCAUUUCUACAAUAAAGCUUCUUAUAUUAUAUUGUUCUUAUCUUCUAUUAUUUCUAUCAUGGUAUCAGAGCCACUUGCCUAGAGCAAGCUCUCUUCUCGCUGCCAAUUCAUCAUUGGUGUUGCCACUCUGCGCCAACGUCCGUUCCCUUCCGCCCGUUCCCUUCCGCUACGGCAUCUCUAGUGCUGCUCAUCAGCACUGCCCCACCUUUCUUCGUCGUUGUAGCUAUUUUCCUUCUUCUUCUGCUACACUUUCCUCUUCUACUACAGCUUCCUCCUCUGUUGCAGUUUCCUCCUUUGCUGUAGUAGCAUCACUGCAACAUUGCUGUAGAUUUCUUCUCUACAAGCGAAGCUUCGCUCUUGCCUUCGGCAAGCGACCAACGUCGCUGAGAAAAGUGAAGCUUCACCCUUCGGCCAGCGACCAAUGCCGUUGCAUUCCUAAGAGGCUCCGUGGUCAAUCCUCAUCUUCCUCACCGCGGUAGUCUUCACUAAUCUGUCAACAUUCGACAGACUUAAGGAGAAUGAAGGGAACGCCUGUGCCAUCAUAGCAACAGCAAUCGCAGCAGCAGCAGCAGCGAUCUACACUUAUCUUACUCAUGAAGCCUCUUGCUUUAAACCAUUCUUUGCACUGAUCCAAGAUUGGUAUCCUUGUUAGGAGCACCAUCUUGCGGGGGCAUGAUAGAAGAUAAGAUUUCCCCAACUUGAUAGAGGAUAAGAUUUCCCCAAUUAUAUGAGGAAAUCUCUCUAUUCUGUUUAUUCUGUUGAGGGAAAUCCUUCCUCCUAAUCUGUAUAAAUAGGAGAGGGAACAUGUUAAUAGAUUCAAGCUAAAGUUUAUCUACUUCAAUAAAGCUUCUUAUAUUAUAUUGUUCUUA
rnacentral:lncRNA from 1 species